GGGGGAUGUUUAUUCUGUAAUUACACAUCAGAUCCAGACAUCUGUGGGAGUGACACUCUGGGGUGCUGUAUUAUUAAUCUGAAUUGAAACUGGUCUGUGGAAACAGGGAGUUUCCUUUUAGAGCCAUUUAAAAUCACAGGCAAACCAGGCAGAAUUAUGAGUUUUUAGAGUUUGUAGUUUUUUAUUUUGUAAUGCAACAUCAGAUCGUCCUUAAACUGGCUGAGUGACACCUUGGGGUACUGGACACUUAAUCUGAAUUGAAAUUAGUCUGUGGAAACAGGGAGUUUCCUUUUUAGAGUUAUUCAAAUUCAAAGACAAAACUUGUCAUAUAUGAGUUUUUGGAGGGCUUUUAUUUUACAAUGCAACACCAGAUCAUCCUUAAACUGGCUGAGGGACAAAAAAAUCUACAUUUAAUAUUACUCAACAUUUGAAGUCAAUUUCAUUUUUAUCAGACCGUUUUUCAAAUAUUUGUAUUAUUUUGAACUUAUUCAUUUAUGUAUGUAUGUAUGUAUGUAUGUAUGUAUGUAUUCAUUAAUUCAUUGACAGAGAAACUGGCUCAAUAAAGGAAUGCCAGAGAUCACUUUUCCCUUGAUCUGACUUUUACACGCCAUUACCGUAAUGCCUAAUACCUGCGCGCACCACAAAACAACGUGGCGGCUAGAAUGACCGUGUUUUUUAAAGUGGAGGCUGGCCUGACCGCAGUUAGAGACUGUAGUUUGUAUCGGCGUCCUUUUUGUGCAAUACAGUACAGAAUACAACCUGUAAGUAUAAUAAUUAUUACCACCUCUGCUAUUACAACUGAACUAAGAUCAAUUCACAAUCUAUGAAGACGAUUAGACAAAAUAAAUAAAAAAAUAAAAUAAUAAUAAUAAUUUAGAGUUUUCUGCUAGGUAUCCAACUAAUGCAGAGUAUAUUCAAGUUGCCAAAACACUGGUUGUGAAGUACCCUUUCCAGAGAAAUAUAAAAGGAAAUGACUGUGAAACUUGUGUUGGGGAGGAUUCAGUGUCUGUUGAGGCCCAUGUGAAUGUGCUACAAAGUGAGUGUCGGAAAACACAUCCAGACACCUGGACUGUCAAAGACCACACAGCACAAACAUUCUCUUGGAGACGUGGAGAAAGCACGGAAGGAAUGUCUGUGGAGGAUGUACUCAAAAAACACCCAUACUUAAGGACACUUGAUGGAGUGAGUAUAGUAAAAAAAAAUCAUCAACUGUAAAAUAUCUUGUUUCAAAUCUUUUCUUGUAAUAUUUUAUUCUUCUGUACCCUUUUAGCCCAUCUGUUAAAAUUUUAAAACAAUAGUUUUAGAAAACAAUGUAAGAUUUAACAGUGUAUACAAGAACAUGAAACGCAUCGUAUAUUGUGACUCUUAUACAUUAGCCUUCUAAUUGUUUUUGCAGUUCUGCACUGUAUGUAGCUACACUGUCUGAGCCAA
rnacentral:lncRNA from 1 species